UACGAAGGGGGCUAGCGUUGCUCGGAAUCACUGGGCGUAAAGCGCACGUAGGCGGCUUGUUAAGUCAGGGGUGAAAUCCUGGAGCUCAACUCCAGAACUGCCUUUGAUACUGGCGAGCUUGAGUACGGAAGAGGCGAGUGGAAUUCCUGGUGUAGCGGUGAAAUGCGCAGAUAUCAGGAGGAACACCAAUUGCGAAGGCAGCUCGCUGGGACGUUACUGACGCUGAGACGCGAAAGCGUGGGGAGCAAACAGG
rnacentral:rRNA from 1 species